CACACUGUGGCGCAGUGGGCCAGUGCAUCUGGCUGCGAGGCAGAAGGUCGGCGGUUCGAGCCCACCCAGGGACGGCUGUGA